rnacentral:rRNA from 1 species
AGACCGUACCCGAAACCGACACAGGUGGACUGGUAGAGCAUACCAAGGCGCUUGAGAGAACUAUGCUGAAGGAACUCGGCAAAUUGCAUGCGUAACUUCGGGAUAAGCAUGACUUCAUAUUGGGCAUCCAGUAUGAAGUGGCACAGAAUUGGGGGUGGCGAUUGUUUACUAAAAACACAGGGCUCUGCGAAGUUGUAAAACGACGUAUAGGGUCUGACGCCUGCCCGGUGCCGGAAGGUUAAAUGGAGAGGUGCAAGCUUUGAAAUGAAGCCCCGGUAAACGGCGGCCGUAACGAUAACGGUCCUAAGGUAGCGAAAUUCCUUGUCGGGUAAGUUCCGACCUGCACGAAUGGCGUAACGAUCUCCCCACUGUCUCCAGCAUAGACUCAGCGAAAUUGAAUUCCCCGUGAAGAUGCGGGGUUCCUGCGGUCAGACGGAAAGACCCCAUGCACCUUUACUAUAGCUUUACGCUGGCAUUCGUGUCGGCAUGUGCAGGAUAGGUGGUAGGCUUUGAAGCCGGGACGCUAGUUCUGGUGGAGCCGCAAGAUGAGAUACCACCCUUAUCGUCAUGAAUGUCUAACCGCGGCAUUUACAGUGUCCGGGACAGCGUAUGGUGGGUAGUUUGACUGGGGCGGUCGCCUCCCAAAGAGUAACGGAGGCGCGCGAUGGUGGGCUCAGAACGGUCGGAAAUCGUUCGCUGAGUGCAAUGGCAUAAGCCUGCCUGACUGCGAGACUGACAAGUCGAGCAGAGACGAAAGUCGGUCGUAGUGAUCCGGUGGUCCCGCGUGGAAGGGCCAUCGCUCAACGAAUAAAAGGUACGCUGGGGAUAACAGGCUGAUACUGCCCAAGAGUCCAUAUCGACGGCAGUGUUUGGCACCUCGAUGUCGGCUCAUCACAUCCUGGGGCUGGAGCAGGUCCCAAGGGUAUGGCUGUUCGCCAUUUAAAGUGGUACGUGAGCUGGGUUUAAAACGUCGUGAGACAGUUUGGUCCCUAUCUGCCGUGGGUGUUGGAAUAUUGAGAAGAGCUGACCCUAGUACGAGAGGACCGGGUUGGACGGAUCUCUGGUGGACCUGUUGUGGCGCCAGCCGCAUUGCAGGGUAGCUAAAUCCGGACGGGAUAACCGCUGAAAGCAUCUAAGCGGGAAGCCUCCUUCAAAACGAGUAUUCCCUUGAGAGCCGUGGUAGACCACCACGUUGAUAGGCCGGAUGUGGAAGCCCCGCGAGGGGUGAAGCUGACCGGUACUAAUAGCUCGGAAAU